AUACGUAGGGGGCGAGCGUUGUCCGGAAUGAUUGGGCGUAAAGGGCGCGUAGGCGGCCCGGUAAGUCUGGAGUGAAAGUCCUGCUUUUAAGGUGGGAAUUGCUUUGGAUACUGUCGGGCUUGAGUGCAGGAGAGGUAAGUGGAAUUCCCAGUGUAGCGGUGAAAUGCGUAGAGAUUGGGAGGAACACCAGUGGCGAAGGCGACUUACUGGACUGUAACUGACGCUGAGGCGCGAAAGUGUGGGGAGCAAACAGGAUUAGAUACCCUGGUAGUCCACGCUGUAAACGAUGAAUACUAGGUGUGGGGGGACUGACCCCUUCCGUGCCGCAGUUAACACAAUAAGUAUUCCACCUGUGGAGUACGGCCGCAAGGCUGAAACUCAAAUGAAUUGACGGGG
rnacentral:rRNA from 1 species